ensembl:lncRNA
UGUACUGUAACAGAAUGUAAACGUAAAAGUUUAAGUGUAAACAUAAAAGCUGAAAUAAUGGUUAUGUAGUUCUUAUCUUGAUAGAACUGUCAAAGACCAUAUAUAUUAUAAACUAUUACAAUAGAUGUUAAAAACUUACUUGAAUGUAUGACAAGUUUAGCUCCAUUGCCAAAGAUUAUUUUACCACUUGUACCAGUAUACACACCACAUAAAACUGCAUAACAUAAACAGGCUGCUGUAUUGUUUGCAUUCAUUGGCAUCUUGAACUUUUACUGUAUAAACCAAUUUGAUAUCACAGUAUUAUACAGUAACAUAGUGAUCACACUAAACUUAGUCUACUAUAAUAUCUGUAGCACUUUGUCAAAUCUAAUUAAGAUUUUGAGUGACUGAAAAGUUCCUGAACUGAACAUUACAAGAUUAUAUAUGUUCCUGUUUGUCGCACUACACUUAUAUCAGCAGUUACCUAUGAAAUAGCCAUGACCAUUACCAUUAUUUUAUUUUCUGAGCACCGUUUACAACUGAUUUGGCAAAAUCCAAUAGACUUACGUGUUUCCACAAUCACUUUAGUGCCAUGUCCAAAGAUGAUUUUGUUCCCUGUCUUCACACCCAGCAACACACCAUGUCAAAAACUACCAACAGCAAUCAUAGCAUUCUGUCUUACUUUUAUCUGAUACACGGGGGAUCUUUAUAGCUAAAGAGGAUUAUUCUAAGAAACGCUGGAUCGCUCAACAAAGAGCUCAACGAAUCUGUUGCAUUACAUAACAUUAUGACAAUUUUCCAUACAAUAUAAUCUAGAUAUGCCAACCUGAGUGAAUUUUAAAACGACAAAUAUCUACUAAUGUUAAUGUUGAUGUGGGAGAAUUGUUGGAGCGCAAUUUGAAAUUUCAUUUUUGAGAUAAGACUUAAUGAUGAACAAAUUUAAAUCAAACACUUACCUGAUUCAACGAUAACUUUAGUACCAUUUCCAAAUAUUAUCUUAUAGCCCCCUCCACUCACAGUCACACUGCACAGAGGACUAUGUCAAAUACUACCUCAUCAGAUACUGCUGUACUUCUCAAGGUCAUUAAACAGAUACUGUGGAAUAUUUCAUUGAUUUUUGUGCGGUCAAAGAAAGAGCUUGAAGCUGUCGAUUUAGAUUUUUUGAUAUUUAGUAUAUUUAGUAUUUAUAUUUAGUCUUGGUCAAUUUCAACUACAGAGGUCAAUGUGCAAGUCCUGUGAUGUAUCACUGCUUACACAGAGGCAAAUAUGUUGUUUUAUAUUGCUUUCACUGACAAAGAUUAUAAUUUGCUUGAUUAUAUACAAGUAAACACCCAGUGGAGGAAUUCAAGGAAACCUUUUAGUGGCAAACUCUAGUCAAAUUAUCAUGACUUGCAGAUUUGUCUAACCUGCCAUAUGUCUUUGGAGUAACUCUUACACUGGUAUCAAAUAUAAAUUUGAAUACAAAAUAAACGUAUGAUACAAAAGUAAAAGUCAAGGGCACUAUGGAGGUGAGUAUGAAUUAUACAGACUUACGUGAUUCCACAAACAGUUUAGUGCCAUGUCCAAACACGAUCUUACUGCCUGUACCAGUAUUCACACUGAGCUACGUGGCAUGGCAAAAACUAUGUGCACUUCCCAAGCACUUUUAAUGUAUUGUGCAAAAUUGCCUAUGGCUCACGUAAAGGAAACAUUUGAGCUCUGGGUAUUUACUUUUGUUGUAUGAACUCCACUAUAGCAAUUUUUGAUGAAUGUCCUCAUGAUGUUCAGAUUCAGUCUGAGUCAGAUAAAAUCACUUAAUUGAACGAUUAUUUUGUUUCUGUGUCAGCUUCACUUGGUUUCUCUCAGAAAUGAAAACGCAACGCUUUAACAUGCAGCUCUGUGUUUAACUUAGACUGUUGACUAUGUGAAAGAAUUUCGCUGAGAUUCAUCGUCUUUGACAGAAUCAUAUGUUUGAAACACUUACCUGUCUUUAGUGCCAUUUGUUAUCUCUAAAUGCUAUAUAAAUACUAUAUAAAGGAUUCUACCCAAGCGAGAGGGCUGUUUUUUUAGGUAUUACACCUAAACAUUAUCGACACAUAGCAAGCAAAGACCUGGAUGACCAUAUAACUUAAACCCCAUCAGUAAUGUCAGUACAACACAAAAAUGUAUAAAUUGUGUUAAUUUAAAAGCUUGGAAUAGUUGGUGGGUGCACAAGGUUGAUCAGAAUGAUUAUACUCACUUGGCUGUACAACUAGCUCUGUUCCAGAUCCAAAUAUCAGUUUGUUGUUGGAUGAGGAUAACCACAGUGCUACAUUCACUAACAUAAAACCAGCCAUGGUCAUAAAACAGUAUUCUCCCCUUAGUUCUUGUUCUUGUCUUGUACAAAAUGAUAUUUACAACUAAACUAUAUUAAAUAAUAAACUAUAUAACACUAUUGAGUUAUACACUAUUCAGCCAUAUUAUAUAUGAUUGCAUAUUUUUGAACCUGAGGCUUUUGUAACUUUAACAAGUGAGAGAAUGGUUUUGACAUACAGAAUUGGCAUCAUACACACAAUUAGCUACAUUAUACAGUAUUAUAUAUGUCUAACCUGUGAUGCUGUCUUGGAAUCCUCCACUGACACCCAACCAUCAGGAUCCACCAGUGGCCAUCGAAAAGGACAAAAAAAAAACAAUCCUGGUCAGGUCUAGUGUAAGGCCAACAAUGCAGCAGACUGCACAUGGAGCAGCGUACAUGCAGUGCCAAAUAACUUGUUUCCGUAAGUCAUAAAAUAGCUCCAAAAACUUGAUCCCAGUUGCUGCCCACAAUAGGCCAAGGCUCAUGGUCUUAGAGACAAUUGAAAAUAAUUUAGAAAAACAAAAAGAGUUGCGACACCUCCAUCUGGGAUCUGGGAGCCAUGUGUAAACUGCGGCUUUCUUCUCAUGAUGUGCAUCAAUGGUCUCUGACAGUCACGUUUGUGUACAAGAAGCUGACUAAGAGAUGCCAUGCUGUCUAGUACACACACUGUUGACCCACUAGCCUACUUUAAACUGACAGCACUAUGCUCUAUGCACUAUGCUCCUAACAGGAGACAGUCACCUGUGGCCUAUAUCUCUAAUGCAGCUCAGCAUUCUUUUAAAUAACCAUGAAGAGCAAACUAACUUCUGGGGGCCAAUUCUCAUAAAAGCUCACAGCAUCCAACUAAAUGUCUAGUGAAGAGUAAUGUAUGUCUAAGCACAGAAUGAUUCUUAAAUAAACUAGGAAAAUGUCAUUAUCUACUUUAGUAUUCAUAUAUUAAAACGUUUUGGUGCUACAUAGGUCUGCAUAUGAUGACAAGAAGAGCCCCUGCCUGUCCAGUGAGGCCUUGUAUUGUGACUACCAUGUUUGAGCAGUAGGGGUCACUAGUUCACUCUGUGGAACUAACAGGGGGCAAACUCACAUUCUUCCCGUGCUUCUCACAACCUCUUCACUGGAUGCACUGAAACACAGAGAAGAGAUCAUGUCACUGGACCAGUCAGAAUUAUUCCUAAAUUCAGUUAUUCUGAACACUAUAGAAAAGAACACAACAUUUUGUGGAUUGUUUGUUGAAUAACCUUACAUCAGUCGGUAGAUGAUGGACAGUAUGCUUACGUUCACUUUUGAUCACAAGGGAGGCACUGGGAGAGGCCUACAGGCAUGCUGUUGACCUGCAAUGGCACAGUGUGUGAGCAUACAAUGGGGGGGGGGGAAUGACUUCCUUGGCA